CACAUAUUCAACACAACUGAAAAUCUUCUUCUUCCCUUCAAACUUACGGCACAGUCUGUAAAACUCAACCAAAAAUAAUCAUGUCUGGAGUCAAGGGACAGAAGAAAUGCCCAGAUCCAUGCCAAGAUCCUUGCCCACCACGAUGCCCACCAGCAAAGCAAUGUCAGGAUCGUAAGUAAAAAACCAUCUAUGUUAUAUCAACACUUAAAUCAUGUUCGUGUAUGUUUUAUUUUAGAAUUAUCAUGAUAAAUACUUUGCUUUUUUAUCUCUAAAACACACUUACAAAUAUCAACGAUAUGAUCAUCUAAGCAGAUUUAUUUCCCGUUUGAUUUUUGCCAUGUCUCCGGUUUAAAUGCCAUUUUUUCUAACAGAGUGUCAAAGUGUUGUUUUAAAGGCCAAGGACCUGAUCUUUUAGGCACAUCUGGUAUUAACCCCUUAAGGACCGAGGACGGUUCAGGACCGUCAUCGGCAUUUUUGCGUUGCCGACCGAUGACGGUCCUGAACCGUCCUAACGGUCAGAGCUACUUACCUGAUCGCCGUCGUUCCCCCGGCGGCAAUCAGCGUGGCUCCGGUUGUGGGGAGACUGCCUGCAGCCCAGACAGUCUCCCCAUGGCAGAUUAGGACCCCUGUGGCCAUGUGAUCGCUUAACACAGCGAUCACAUGGUCACAAUAGGUGUCCAUGUGUCUGCCUGCAGGGGGACUGCCUGUGCUGACAGGCAGUCUCCCUGCUAGUGUAAAAUCAAUUAAAAAAAUAAAGUUAGUGUUAAUAAAAAAAUAAUAAUAAUUAUAUAUGUGUAUAUAUGAUAUAUAGACAUAUAUUAUAUCUAUAUAAUAUAUGUCUAUAUAUCAUAUAUAUAUAUAUAUAAUGUCAUACUAAGUGUAUUUUUAUAUUAAUAUGUACUUAUAUUAAUAUAAAAUACACUUAUAAUUAAAUUACACACGUAUAUAUAUAAUAUAUAUAAUAACUAUAUAUAUUGUAUAUAUAUAUUAUUAUAAAAUAUAAAUAAUAAGUAAUUUAAAUUAAAUAAUUUUUUUUAAAAAUAAUAAUAAAAAAUUAAAAAAAAAUUAUAUAGCUAUAUGAAAUUUUAUUCUAACUGUAUUUUUAAAUUAAUAUAUAUAUAUUUAUAUCAAAAUACACUUAGAAUGAAUUUGUAUAUAUAUCUAUGUAUAUAAAAAUAAAUAAAAAUAAUAAGAAAUAUACAUACGUCCAUAUACAAAAUUACAUAAAUAAUUAUAAAAUAUACACGUAGACUUCAAAUAUAUAAAUAUGCAUAUAUAUUUAAAUUCUACGUAUUUAUGUAAUAUUUUUACAUAAUUCAGUAAUUUUAUUGAUUGCAAUUUGAGGGACCUGCCUGCCAACCCAGGCCGAAAUUCCAGAGAAUUUAAUUUGCUAGCACUGUAUUUUACCCUGUAACGUUCUAUGACACCCUAAAACCUGUACAUGGGGGGUACUGUUUUUACUUCGCUGAACACAAAUAUUAGUGAUUCAAAACAGUAAAACAUAUCACAGUGAUGAUAUUGUCAGUGAAAGUUACUUUUUUUGCAUUUUUCACACACAAACAGCACUUUUACUGAUGAUAUAAUUGUUGCGAUACGUUUUCCAGUUUUAAACACUAAUAUUUGUGUUCAGCGAUGUCUCCCGAGUAAAACAGUACCCCCCAUGUACAGGUUUUAUAGCAUUUUUGAAAGUUACAAAGUCAAAUAUAUGGGUCAAAUAUUUUUACAUUGAAAAUGGCCAGGUUGGUUACGUUGCCUUUGAGAGCGUAUGGUAGCCCAGGAAUGAGAAUUACCCCUAUGAUGGCAUACCAUUUGCAAAAGAAGACAACCCAAGGUAUUGCAAAUGGGGUAUGUCCAGUCUUUUUUAGUAACCACUUGGUCACAAACACUGGCCAAAAUUAGCGUUCAAUUUAGUUUUUUUACUUUUUUCACACACAAACAAAUAUGAAUGCUUACUUUGGCCAGUGUUUUCGACUAAGUGGCUAAUAAAAAAGACUGGACAUACCCCAUAUUGAAUACCCUGGGUUGUCUACUUUAAAAAAAAUAUGUACAUGUGGGGUGUUAUUCAGAGAUUUAUGACAGAUAAUAGUGUUACAAUGUCACUAUUGAUAAAUUUAAAAAUGUAUGUUUUGAAACCGCAAUAUCCUACUUGUACCUAUAGCCCUAUAACAUGCAAAAAAAAGCAAAAAGCACGUAAACACUGGGUAUUUUUAAACUCAGGACAAAAUUUUGAAUCUAUUUAGCAGUUUUUUUCAUUCGCUUUUGUAGAUGAGUAAAAGAUUUUUCAAGUAAAAGUCAAAAAACAUGUAUUUUUUUCAAUUUUUCAUCAGAUUUUUUUAUUUUUUUUAAAUUAAAAUACAUGAGAUUAUAUAAAUAAUGGUAUGUAAAGAAAGCCCCUUUUGUCCUGAAAAAAACAAUAUAUAAUUUGUAUGGGAACAGUAAAUGAGAAAGCGGAAAAUUACAGCCAAACACAAACACCACAAAAGUGUAAAAAUAUGCCUGGUCGCAAAUGUACAACAUCGCAAAAACAGUCCAGUCCUUAAGGGGUUAAAGGGAAUUUUUCUCAGAAUUCCUAUUUUACGACACAAUGCUGAGUUUUGUGAUCAAUUUAGUAAUGAUUCUUGACUAAUGAAGGUUGGAGAUAUGUGCUAUUUUAAUGGUGAGCAGGGGCUUCUGUUAUUUUAGUAAAAACAGAUACAAGGAAACAUAUUUCAUUGACAUAUACACAAAACACUGUCAGUAAGAAAAAUAGGAAAGUUUGAAGUCUAUACAGUGCAGGGCAUGGAAGGAACAAAAAUGUUUUAUUUUGUUGUCUUGUCUCUGUUUAUUGAAUAGCAUUGGCACAAUUUAAAUAAGUGGGAUAUAAGAAAUAUCUGAAAGGGAGUGGGAGAAAAUCAUUUCAUAUUACCUUAUUAAAAAGUGUUACUAUUACAGCUGUGGUAAUGCAGUAUUUUAAUGAAAGCUUUUUACAGAUUACUGCUUUGAACAUUGGGCCAUCAGUAUCUAUGAAUAAUCUGGAUUUUAUACUAGUUAAUGCCCAAAAAAUGUAUUUAAAAAAAAAAAAAAAUUAAACAAAAUAAUUGUAAGGUUUAUAUUGUGAAAUGUAUUUCAGGUACAUAGCAAUUUCAAUGUAUUGAAAACGUAAAUAGAUUGCAUGGGAUUAAGCAGGAUUUUAUUCUAAUUAAGUUGAUAGUACACAAAUUUGAAAAAAAUCAUUAAUAAUUUUUCCUUCUUCUUUUGCAGCUUGCGACCCAUGCCCCAAGCCAGUUCCUCAAUGCCAAGGUAAAAACGGCACAACCUAUUAUCUCUCCACUGACUAAUAUUUAGUUAUAGCGUAGAAACAAAAAAAAUAUAUAGAUAAUGGACCCACAAAGGAAUAGUCUUCUUAUUACUGAUCAUGUUAAUAAAUCACAUUCUGUUUGUUGGGGGUUGUCACUCUAUGUAGUAAAUCAUUACUGCACUAUGUGACUGAGACUGCACCGGGAGAAAUAUCGGGCAGUAUCAGGACAUACAUAUAUGAAUUGUUAUUAGCUUCUGCUGUCAUGAGCUCAGUCCGCUAACAUUAACUAACACAUAAAAUAAAUUAAAUCUUAUUUUGUUAUUAUGUUAAUGCAUAAAACAAUACAAUAAGAAGACCUCUCUAAUCCAUUAAAAGUACACUCCACUGCCCAAGUACAACAAAUAAAUCACUGUCUAGUAGAUAUUCCACUGAUGAAAAAAAUACACCUAUUUAAUUAUAGGUAGCAUAUCUAAAAACAGUUUGCAACAGCUACAGAUCUCUUACACAUAAGCCUUUGCAAGCCCUCCCCUUCUCCCCCACUCAGACUUUCUGUGGCUGUCCAAUCACAGGCUUCCCAAUGCAACUCAAUGAGAAGAAUUUGCAAGGCAGGUGCUCUGAGCAAAUACUGCAUCCUGAGUUUAGCUUCAUUGAACUAAACAAACCAGGAAUUUACAGAGCUGUGGGCGGUGCAACAAGAUUCAUUUAUAAAAGUGACAAUUUCUGUUGAAAUCUGCGCACAUUGUAUUGUAUAAUAAAAAAAAGUACUUUAGGUGCGUGGAGUGCUCCUUUAAUAAUAACAGUCUGUGUGGUCAUAAUAGCCUGUUCUUUAAAGGUAUUAUUCCAAAAUAGAAUAACCCCCUCAUGGGAAGCAUGGUGCUACCAUAGAAUAGGAACGUUUCAAUAAUUCAUGACAUGCAGUUGGUACAGACCUAAAUAUAACUACAAACUGUUAUAUUUGGUCCUUACAGAAUUUUCUAAUAUUUCAAGGUUGCAAUUAGAGUAUAUUCAUGUUUAAAAUGGUUAAUGUACAAAUAAAUUGGCAGUCUAAUUUUAUAUCUCUCACUCAUACAAUCUCUGUUCUCUCCUUCCAGAUCCCUGCAAACCGGCUCCCCAGCACUGUCAUCAGGACGUGAAGUGCGUGAAGAAGUGUUAAUAUGAUGGAAUCCUGGGAUGAAACUGCUGUCUGCUUCUUUGCUUAAUAAAUUAUAUCUAGCGCGACAUCUGAAAAACAAACAUUCCAUUGUCCUUUUUAUGAUUACCUAGUGGUACCCAGUUUCGUCUGGUGACAGUGCAGUUCACCAUUUGCUGUAUGAGCCAAUCAACAUUGAAUUAAAAUGCAUAUCUGAAACGUGAAGUUCUGUCUUGUGGUAAUUUUUUUUGGCUCUGUGCUAGUCAAUGGGUAAG